rnacentral:rRNA from 1 species
CUAACCUGCUCACUGACAAAGUUUUAAAGAGCCGCGGUAUUUUGACCGUGCAAAGGUAGCAUAGUCAUUAGUCUCUUAAUUAGGGGCUGGAAUGAAUGGUUUGACGAGAAAUCAUCUGUCUCUUAUUAAAUUAUAUAAUUUAACUUUUGAGUUAAAAGGCUUAAAUUUUUCUUUUAGACGAGAAGACCCUAUAGAGCUUAACAUUUUAUUUUUAUAUAAUUUUUAGUUAAUUUUUUUAUAUUUAAAGAUAAUGUUUUGUUGGGGUGACAUGAAGAAUAAAUAAACUCUUCAUUAUAAAAUCAUUAAUUUAUGUUUAUAUGAUCCAUAAUUUAUGAUCAUAAGAUUAAGUUACCUUAGGGAUAACAGCGUAAUUGUUUUUGAGAGCUCAUAUCGACAAAAUAGAUUGCGACCUCGAUGUUGGAUUAAGAGUAAUUUUGGGUGCAGAAGCCCAAUAAUUAGGUCUGU